AACGAACGCUGGCGGCAUGCCUAACACAUGCAAGUCGAACGAAGCCUUCGGGCUUAGUGGCGCACGGGUGCGUAACGCGUGGGAAUCUGCCCUUAGGUACGGAAUAACUCAGGGAAACUUGUGCUAAUACCGUAUGAUGUCGAGAGACCAAAGAUUUAUCGCCUAGGGAUGAGCCCGCGUUGGAUUAGCUAGUUGGUGAGGUAAUGGCUCACCAAGGCGACGAUCCAUAGCUGGUUUGAGAAGAUGAUCAGCCACACUGGGACUGAGACACGGCCCAGACUCCUACGGGAGGCAGCAGUGGGGAAUAUUGGACAAUGGGCGAAAGCCUGAUCCAGCAAUGCCGCGUGAGUGAAGAAGGCCUUAGGGUUGUAAAGCUCUUUCAGAUGGGAAGAUAAUGACGGUACCAUCAGAAGAAGCCCCGGCUAACUCCGUGCCAGCAGCCGCGGUAAU
rnacentral:rRNA from 1 species